GCCCGGCUCCACCUUCCCGCGCACACCUGCUCCGGCGGCGCCGCGCACGUGCGCACCCCCCGGCAGGGGCUGGAGGGGGCCGGGAGUGCGGCUACGCGCGGACUACUUUUCGCGGACCCUCAGGCGGCGGGCGGAGGGAUCCCGCGCAGGAUCUUCGCGGAGGGGAGCGCGUGCGGGACGCGGCCGUCAGCAGUGCGCCUGCGCGGCCGCCGCCGGCGCCCCGCCUGCGUGCCUGCCUCAGGCACCCGCCGCCUCAGGGACCCGCCGCAUCUGUCUUUGCCUUGGCCCGCGCCGGCUGUGGCGCGGAUCCUCCCCAUCGGCUUCCAGCAGCACUUCCAGCUCCAAAACCUGGGAAUUAAUCCAGCCAAUAUUGGAUUCAGCACACUGACCAUGGCAUCUGACAAGUUAUAUGUGUCCGAGAGAAAGUUGGUGAACCGGCGCAAGUGGUGAUGAUUGACAUGAGUGAUCCAGUGGCACCAGUCAGAUGGCCUGUCUCAGCAGAAAGCGCCAUCAUGAACCCAGCCUUUAAGGUGAUAGCUCUGAAAGGUAAGCCUAGUGGGACUUGUAGAAAAGAAUUUUGCCUCACUUUACCUGCUUUGUCACCUUAAAUAUUGGACAGGUGUCAGUAAACUCACAGCAAAGUAUCAUCUAUAAUAUUAAACUUAAUUCCAAAAGUUUUAGCAAAAGCUGUUUUGCAUGCCCUCUUGGCCCCUGAGCACCCCAGGUUUUUGUCCCAGCACCCCUAGUGCCAAAUACAUGAGAGGAAGUGAACACCCAGGACCUCGUCCUCAUGGAUGCCGUGUCUGGAAAGGCCAACAGCUACACUAUGUGUGCUCACCAGUCAGGCCAUGUGGUGGCCUUGACCCAUGAGGGGCUGGUUUACUGUGGUGCUCCAGGUAUCCUAGAGUAUGAGCCAAGAUACUUACCUUUCUUGUGAAACACACUGAUGACAGUAUAGCUGCCGAUUAAUAGAAUUUCGCUUCCCUGAACUCCAGGGACCCUGGCUGCUUGGAACCUUUUGGUCACCUUGAGAAUAUAGAAUCUUCAUUUUGCCAUGAUUCAGGAAAUGAAAGGAUUGCAUAUAUACUGGACUUGCUAAUGUUUUAUGUGAAAUGCAUUAUCACUUAUCUUGAAAAGUGUAGCUCUCUCUGGCCUGAAGUUUGUGAAUGCCAAAUAUUAGCUUUGCCUAUGCUUCUAUUUUGUUAUAGAAAUAGGGUCUGCUUUGUCAUUUCAGUACAUAGAUGGACAUCUGGAAGUUAAGACCUUUCUAUUUAAAGAAAUAGCUGAAAAUUUUUUAUUCAAAAUUAUCUUUUUUUUAAGAUUGGCACCUGAGCUAACAUCUGUUGNUAAGACCUUUCUAUUUAAAGAAAUAGCUGAAAAUUUUUUAUUCAAAAUUAUCUUUUUUUGUUAACACUGUUUCUUUCUUUCUUUUUUACAUUUUAUUAGCUUAUAUUCUUUUUUUUUUGUUUUUAAGAUUGGCACCUGAGCUAACAUCUGUUGCCAAUCUUUUUUUUUUCUUUCUCCCCAAAGCCCCCCAGUACAUAGUUGUAUGUCCUAGUUGUGGGUCCUUCUGGUUGUGCUGUGUGGGAUGCUGCCUUGGCAUGGCCUGGUGAGUGGUGCUAGGUCUGCGCCCAGGAUACGAACCAGGGAAACCCCGGUCCGCCAAAGCAGAGUGCACGAACUUAACCACUUAGCCACAGGGCCAGCCCUCAACUCUAUUUCUUGUCAAGAAUUUUUUUGAACAUGUAGUAUAAGCACUGUUAACUAUUUUGGUUUUAUUUGAAGAAAUUAUUAAACUUUGUGGAUUCCUAAUGAUUCUUUUGACUUUUCUGCAUUUUCUAUUUUUGCAGUACUUUUGAGAGACCUCAUCUAGCAUGUCAUUUUCUGUUUGGUAUUCUCAGCAGGUCUCCGAAAUGACCAGCAUUUUAGUCUUCCUGGUUCUCUAGUAUAGUUCUCUUUAAGGAUGAUCUUGGACCCUUGUAGUACAAAUUGUUGACAAAUGAAAGAUAUUUAGUGUGUUUUAAAGGCCCUAGACCAAAAUGAGUGAAAAUGUCUCAAAAAAAAUAAAAAGUUGGGGCUGGCCCGGUGGCGCA
rnacentral:lncRNA from 1 species